GCUAUCUCUCCUCUUCUUUGAUCUUUGCUUUAGGAGAACAUGGGCUAUCUCUUUUUCUUCUUUUUUUCAGGUGGGUAGUAGAUACCCCUAAUUCUACUGUCGGACACUUGUCCAUUUUUUCCGCUCAAGUGGGCAUCUUUGUACCCCUAAUUCUACUCUGGACACUUGUCCAUUUUUACCUCUCGUCUCACUCUUUUUCUUUCUUUUCCGAGGUUCCGAGCACUUGCCCCUUUUUAUUACCUCACAUAUUUUUGCAUAACCCAUGCCUCUUCUGCAUUGAAUCUUUUUAGAGAGAGAGAAUAAGAAUAUUUGGGAUAGUGAGUGAUAACAAUAUUUUUUUUAGCAAUCUUAAUGAAUGGUGGUGGAUGGUGUAGUAGAUGUGUGCAAGUGAAUAUCUUCAUUUAACCACAUGAAAAGCUCCUAAGGGUCUACACAGCUCGAUCAAACUCAAUGUGAAUAUAAGAAAAAGAUAUUAUAGCA
rnacentral:lncRNA from 1 species